UGCGUAGGCGGAUAGAUAAGUCAGAGGUGAAAGCCUCCCGCUCAACGGGAGAACUGCCUUUGAUACUGUUUAUCUUGAAUGAGGUUGAGGUUAGCGGAAUGUGACAUGUAGCGGUGAAAUGCAUAGAUAUGUCAUAGAACACCAAUUGCGUAGGCAGCUAGCUAGGCCUUUAGUGACGCUGAGGCACGAAAGCAUGGGGAGCGAACAGUAUUAGAUACCCUGGUAGUCC
rnacentral:rRNA from 1 species